rnacentral:rRNA from 1 species
UACAGAGAGUGCGAACGUUGUUCGGAAUUACUGGGCUUAAAGCGCACGUAGGCGGCAUUGUAAGUGUCUGGUGAAAUCCCACGGCUCACCCGUGGAACUGCCAGGCAUACUGUGAUGCUCGAGUGUGGUAGGGGAGAGCGGAACUCCUGGUGGAGCGGUGAAAUGCGUAGAUAUCAGGAGGAACACCGGUGGCGGAAGGCGGCUCUCUGGUCCACAACUGACGCUGAGGUGCGAAAGCCUAGGGGAGCAAACGGG